GCUACUAUACUAUCUAUAGUACCGGAGCUUCGGUACUAUAGUGUUGUUUUCGAUUUUAGGGCGUUCAAAUCAACGAUCCACACCAUUAAAUAUGAUCUAGGGUAUAUGAAAUUCUUAGAAAUAAAAUUUUAGUUUUUUUCGAUAUCGUUUACUUAGUAAAUAAAUUAUGUCAAAAUGGACAGUGGAAAUUGAAUACUCUUUAAAAUUUGAGCAUAGGACUUUUAAAUUUAAGAUCAAGAAUGUUAACCUUAAUCUAUAUAGUUUAAAGUAUUUUCUAUCAAAAUUUGAAGAAAUUUAGAUUUUUCUAUAUCGUUAAACUCCAAACUCGUCAUAAUAGCCAUUGAAAAUUGACAAUUUUAAAAUUGUUUGAUCAUAAAGUAAACUAUGUCGAAAAAAUAUAAAAUUUUAUUUCUAAAAACUUUAAAUACCCUAGAUCAGUUUUAACGGUGUGGAUCGUUGAUUUAAACACCUGAAGAUCGAAACCGGGACUAUAGUACCGGAGCCCCGGUACUAUAGAUAGUAUAGGAGCCUAGCUCUCUUUCUCUCUCUCUCUCUCUCUAUAUAUAUAUAUAUUGAGAAAGAAAGAGGUCCACUGUGGACCUCUUUCUCACACGGUCCACAAAGCCACUUCAGCUCGUGGAUUGCGUAAUAGCAUCACGAUGAGCUGCGACAUUUUGCGGCCUCCAAUUUCGUUUUCCGCAGCUCCCGAACGGAAAACGAAAAUGGAGAUUUCCUCAGAGUAUGUAAAUGCGUUUUCCGUCGAAUUUUUUUUUUUUACAUUGAACCAAAUGAUCCGCAAACCAUUUUCGGACCGAAAAAUUAUUUUUAGCCUAUUUUUACAUCAUACCGAACACACGCUAAAGUAGUAUUAUGUACAAGAAAAUGUUUAUAAAUAGAAGAAAUACCUUCUCAUAAGCAGAGGGAUCUUGCUUUAUUAUUGCUUUAAUUGACAUGAUUGCUUGAACCAAAACAUCAGCUUCCCCAUCAAGCUGGUGAGAAUUGCUUACAGAUGAUUCUGCAAUAUACUGAAUUUAAGAGCAAAAUUCUGCUUUCAUAAGUGCAAUAUGAUGAAUAUAAAAGCAUGUACACUAAUUUACCAUAAAGUACAAGUGCCAAAAGCCCUUCUAGGCAAGUAGAGGCAACAGUAGGCAGCCGUUGAGCGCAUAACCCAAUUGCAGCAACUGUAUCUGCAACAAAUCUCCUAUCCGGAUCUUUAAUGUAGUCCUAGUAGCACAACUAGAAAGAUAAGUAUCAGUCAACUUACUAUAUGCAUAAGUGUGCGAUAUUUCCUAUACAGCAGCCAGCUAAUAAACUAGAGGGUAGAAUUUAUGGAUAUUCCCUAUACUAUCUGAUAUUGUGACUUAGUCCCUGAACUUUCAUCUUAAACAAUUUGGUUCCCGACAUGUUGCAAUUUCAUCUUUCAAUGUAUGAGGAAGUUCAACUAAGUUGUUUAGGUAGAAACUUAUGGACUAUCUCACAUUAUCAAGAUAGUAUAAGAACUAUCCAUACAAUAUACCCUAAACUAUGAUGGCCCUGGCGACUAGUUCCUAAAAAUACUGCAGGUGAUGUUCAAAGACCAGACCAAGUUUAUUGGUCUGCACGAGACAUACAAUCAUGCGGCUUAUGUACCUGGAAUUCUUCAAGUAUUACAGGUAGGGAUGACUCCGUGGCAAUAGUGGAUAAUAUUUCAAGCUUCAAAGUUUUGAUCUGAUAUGGAUCUGAACUGGAUAUAAAGAAAUCUUCAUAGUAAGGUGCAAAAAGCGAAGGGGCUGUCUUGGCAAAAACUAUUAUGUUGCAUAGCAUCUGUACAAGAACAGGAACAUGUCAGCAGUAAUCAAUUAACAAGCAAAGCUACCCACAAAGAAAAAUCCCUCAAAAAUUCAUUUGAGAGAAUGAAUUCUCUCAUAAGUUCAGUUAAGAUUAAAAUUCUAAAAAUUCUUUAAGCUGUAACUGUUAGGUUGGAAAAAGAAAAUCUGCCAAAAGCAAACCUAAUCAUACUUAACAAUUGGAAAUAAUGAAAAGUCUCACGAGAUUACCACAUGUUUUGCAGCACAAGAUGACCGCAGAAUGAAUAAUAUUGGCCUAACAAUCCUUUCAACUUCAUUUUUCGGAGCCAUAAUCCAGUGCACACCGGCAGCAGCAAGUACAACUGCACUAUUUUGACUCCACAGAAGAGGUGAUGUACACCGCAAGAGAAUCCUCACAUCAUCAUUCAUACUAGUAGUCAAAUAUAAGUCAUCAGGAUCAUUCCCAUCUUCCUUUAUAUGCUGAAACGGAGAUAAAUAUUCCUCUUGUCCCUCUACAUAACAUCGGAGCAUCAACCUAUUCAACUUAAAAUCAUUUGGCUCGCCACCUACAGUACCAAAAGCAGCAUUUUCCUGAUCGGAUUGUGAAUUCAAGGUAGAAGUGGAAGCAAACAUAAUGGAAUCCUUCACAAGUCCGUGCCUAGCUACUACAUAACGUAAAAGGAUCUCAAUCAGAAUAAUCUGGGCCCACUCUUCAACAUCUGGGAGUGUCUCACAUAGCCUUCGGAAAUUUCUCUUUAUCAGCAAUAAAUUAUACGGGCAAAUGGAAUUAAAGGCGGUGGCAGCAGCUCCAAUUACACCAGGAGAAUUAUCACUCAACAAGAUACACACAAGCUGCAGCAUGAUAUGAAUGGUCUAAUUAAGCUUAAAAGGAUACCCGGCGUUUGUAUAAAAAAAAAAAGUACAAUGACCCCCUCAACUACAGGUUGUUUAAAAUAGACCCUCAGACUUUUCUGUUUAUUAACACCCCCUGAAACUUUUAAGUUAUUUCCAUCAAUUGAAUUGAGCAUUCAUUACCUUUAACAGUUACUCCUCUAUUUAACAGCUCGACCUACUCUUUUAGCCGACAACUAGCGGUUUGAUUAAGUGUUAAUGACUAAUAGUUAACUGAGCCACCAAAGUGAAAACAUUGAGGGGGAGUACAUCAAAGUGAAAAAAACAAAGAUGGGCGCCUCUUUCAAAAUGUCCUGCAGUUGAGGGGAUCUUGACAUAUCUUUAGUUAUUAAAGCAGAUGGUUUUAGCAGGGAAGUAACCUCCUCCAGAGAAGUAUUGUCCUCCUGUUGCAAGUCGUAUAACUUAGGAAGUGCAUACGCAGCACAUUUUCUGACAUAUGGAGAUGGAUCUCUUGCGCACUUAGUUACAGCCGCUAAUACAAGAGGAGCGACAACAUGUAGACGAAUCCCUGCCAUCGCACGUAGAGCCCAAGCUCGCACUAGAGGAUUUGUAUCUGAUAAAUCCUUCUGGAAACAGUUAAUAGACAGGAGAGCUUCAUUUGGACGCCUGAAUACAAAAAGCAAAACAAGUGGCUAAAAUGUUACAUUACCAGGAAUACCAAACAGCACGAACAACAGAGAUAUAAGAGAAUGGAGGGAUGAUAAUCGUCAAGCAAGUACAACAGAAAAGGGGAAUAAAAGGACCAUGGCUAAUUGAACUAUACAAGUACAUAUUGAAUACUUUUCCUUACUUAUCCCGCUUGGACUUGAUUAAACUUCAAAAAAGGAUUUAAAAAUUAUCUGUGACUUCGACACCACUGAAAAACUGUAAGUAAAUUCUAAAAGCAGGGCAAAUACUGUACAGCGAAGCUAUGAUUCUAACAAUCUCAUGCAAAUAUAAACCGAAUAAGCAGGAGAAGGGAUUCUGAACCCAUACUUUUCGGCAUAGUGAAGCAGAUACAGGUACACAAGCUUCUUCACCUCCAGUGAUUGCGAUGCCAAGUUCUUCACAACCUACAACAACAACAUUUCCCCAGUUCCUUACUGGAUCAUCUACAUCAUGCCUACAUAGAUCGAGAGAGAGAGAGUAAGGGAGAGAGAGGGGACCUGGGGGAAGAGGUGGGAGACGUCGGCGCCCUGGGCGAUGAGGGCGAGGAGGCGCUUGAGCCCCUCGCACUUCUCGGAGUCGUAGCGGCUCUCGAGGAGCGGGGCGAUGCUCACGUCGUCGGGGUCAUCGUAGAGGUGGGCGUCGGUGCCGAUGCGGAGCACGAGGGACGAUGCCUUGGUGAGGCUCUCCGCCGUGGCCCCGAACUGGGGAAACAUCCCGUAAUUAGGGUUAGGGUUUUUGUGGGAGAGGAAUCGAUCAGGCGAUGGAGAGGUCGACGACGAAGGAGCGGAGGGUGAAGGCGGAGGAGAGGUGGUCGGUAUUUAAUUGGGGAUCUCGAGUGGCAGCAGCAGGACGGGAAUGUGGGUUCUACGACGAACUGUGUCGCAUGCGGAUUGCGGACGCGCGCGGUGCACCAUUCGAUACGCCCGGUGUACAGAUUCGCUCCUCAACGUAGACCGGUUCAUGGGCCGAGAGACCCAACUAGCCCACUCUAAACUACAGAUUAAUGGGCCCGGCCAUAACUAAAACAUUACGGGCUCUGGCUCGGACUGCAAACAAUCCAAAUUAUAUAAUAGUCCGACAAUUUAAGAAGAUUAAUUAUAUCAAUAAAAUAUAAAAUCAUAACGUAUUAAUAACCAAAUAAAAAUAUCAUUUCAGGUGGAAGUAAUUGGCAAUUAAAAUUGAUAUAAUAUAAUGAAUCUGUUUACUCGGUUUUAAAUUAAAAUUGCUACUAUCACAACCAUCGUUAUCUAGAUUAAAUUUGCUCGAUUGAGAUUUGCACUUAUUUUAGUCCAUGUUGAAGUAAUAAAGCUUAAUAAGACUUUUCAUCAAAUUACGGCAAUAGCAGUGCGCGGAAUGUUGCCUGUGAUAAUGAUGUUACAUUUCAUACAGCUAUAGGACAUUGUGGGAUGUAAUAAGUACGAAAUUCUUGGUAAGUUGCAAAAAAAAAAAAAAAAGAAGAAAAAUUAUUAUUCAAAUUGAGCGCUGAGAAGGUACUAUUUUUUUAUUUUUUAUUUUAAAGUAAGAAAUGAUAACUCUAGCAAGUUUUGAACACUGUUCAUUUUCUCUGUCCGUUCUUAGAAAUCUCCGCUAUUUGUUAUAGCGUGCACAGAUUCCAACCAGAGCCUUACGCCCCGCAACCCAACCCAAGCCGCACUACACCCAACGCACCAAAUUUGAGUAGCAAAAGCUGCGAUAUCCUCACGCACGCGGUAAACUUACCUCCCUAGAGCCACUUGAACCUCGGCUCCUUCCUCCUCCUCCACGCUCUACUCUCUACACUAAACCCUUUCUCUCUCUCCUCCGCAUCCUCCUCCUCCUCCUCUCGCCAUGGACGCGGACAUGGAGAGCAACUACUCGGAGGAGGAGGAGGACGAGGAGGACUCCGAGAUCAGCGACUCCGAGCUCGACGACCACGAGGAGAAGAUCUACUUCAUGCUCAAGACGGGGAACCACCGCGUGCGCAACCCAGAUGGCUCCUUCCGAUGCCCAUUUUGCACGGGGAAGAAGAAGCAGCAGUAUACGUACAAGGACCUGCUCCAACACGCCACUGGUGUCGGCGCCUCCAACACGCACAAGCGCCGUGGCAAGGAGAAAGCCUUCCACCGCGCCUUCGCCCGCUUCCUCAAGACCGAUCUCGCCCCCAACGCUCCCCCCGCCGACGCCGCCGCCGCCGCCGCCGCCGCCGGAGUCGACGGCGAAGCCGGCGGCGAGGCCGGAGCCGGCCCCUCCCGGCCACCUCCGCCGCCCCCGGAGCUGGAGCAGCUGCCCCGCGCGCGCCCCGAGGACGUCGAGCUCUUCGUGUGGCCGUGGAUGGGCGUCCUCGUCAACGUCGGCGGCGACGGAGGCGCAAAUCUGAAGGAUCAGCUCUCCAACUUCAACCCUAGCGACGCAAUCGCUUUAGGAGAAGGUACGGCGAUCGUAAGAUUUAACAAGGAUUGGGGAGGGUUUAGGGAUGCCAUGGCGUUCGAGAACCAUUACAGGGCGAGUCGCUUCGGGAAGAAGGAGUGGGAACAGAGGGAUGGGGAUAAAGUAGGGUUUUACGGGUGGAUCUCUAGGGAUGAUGAUUACAACGGCGAGGACAUUAUUGCCCAGUAUCUGAAGCAGAAUGGGGAUCUGAAAACGGUGUCGGACGUGGCGAAAGCCGAGUCGAAGGAGACCGGGAAGAUCGUCGCCAUUCUCGCGAGCCAGAUCGAGAUCAAGAAUAAGUGCCUGCAAGAGUUGGAGACGAGGUACAAUGUAACUGCUCUGUCGAUGAGCCGGCUUGAGGCGGAUAAGAAGAAGCUCCAUGAUGCUUAUAAUGAAGGUAUAUUGUGAAUGCUUCUCACUAAGUACUAUUUGGUUUAUAGUGGAUUACAUAUUAAAAGUUCAGUAGACGGUAAGAAUGCUAAGCGUAAUGCUGUAGCUCUACUGUUUUUGGUUAUUUGGUUGCUUUAUGAAUUACAAUGUUGUGUGUUUAAGAUAUCUACUCGUAUAUUAGAUGAAGUUUUUCUCAAGUACUAAAUGUGGUUUGUUAUGUGGUGCUCUACUGUCUUUAUUAUGUGGAAGUUUCCUUGCUUUAAAGUGCAAUUGUCGCGAAAAAUUUGAAAGAAUUCAUUCUCAUGCUGAAGCUACAAAGUAUUGUUAUUUGAAUCUUUUUUCGCCUUUCAAUUCUAUCUUGGUCUCCAUGUGGGUAUCUAAUUGCCUGUAAACAUGUGAACUUCAGCUCUUUUUUUGCUUCUUGUUACUUUACAUGGUCAUAUCCUAUUUUUGCCCUCAGUUGGGACUUUUCGUACCAUUUGUUCAAAUUUCUUCUUCUGGCAAUCCUAAUUGGGAAAAACAGUAUUUGGUCGGACGGUGGGCAUAAGCUCAUCAAUUUUACUCUUAUUCUUAUAGCAGGGUCUUAAUUUAUGGACAUGUCUAACAUUUUUAGGUGAAAAUUCAUGUGGCUCACCAAAUGUGCUCUAUGUGAUGUGUAUAUCUGUCUUUGUGUAUAGAAAAGGGUUUUUCUCAUGGAAAGAUGAUUGCUCACACAUAUAUAUGAAAUUUUGUUUAAGAAAACAUGUAUUGGUGAUAGAAGGCCAGUUCUCCGAGUAUCUUCCUGAUUGCAAUAAGUUUUCCUUUGUAUGAAUUGAGAUGCAGAGAUGCAUGAAUGUAAGAAGCUUGAUUUUUAGGUGCAAAGUCAUUUGAAUUUUGAGAUGAUUUCCUUCUUGCUUGGAUUUUAAUGUGUUGGUUCCGUGAUGAAUUUCUCAGUUCUUAUCAAGCUUUUUGUUAAAAAACUUUUUUUUUUCUUUUCAGAAAUGCGCAAUCUUCAGCGCAUGGCGCGGGAGAAUGCUCGAAGGAUUUUUGAGGAGAAUGAGAAACUGAGGCUAGAGUUGGAUGCAAAGAGAAAAGAACUAAAUUCGCGAUGCAAGCAACUAGACAAGUUAGAGGCUGAAAAUGACGGUGAGAAGAAACAACAGCUUGAUGAUGAGAAGCAAAAGGUAAUGGGUUUAUAUAAAGCGCCCAAUCUGAAUUAAAGAGUACAUUGUAAGUUACAUCUUUUUGAUUAUUAUUUGUGGAAUGGUACGAACUAUUAUGUUUGAAGAUGUUUUAAUUAAACAAAAGAUUAGCAUGGAACCUGGAGAAAAAUAUUGGAGUAAUUAACUUACAAUAGAUAGAUAAUUAUAACAAAUUAACCGAAGAUGAUUACUGUCCCACUACUUGUGAUGGUCGCAUUGACACCUUCAUCAACCGUCAGUGAGGUUUUGUGAUCUUUGCUGAAGAAACCAGAAUAUCAAUUGUUAAUGCUCUUGUUUGGUUGAUUGCAUCCAUUUUACAGAUAGUCUUCAAUAAUUUGAUUUAAAAUAGUCCAUAUGUCGUAUUAAUUUUCUUUAUCACUUCUUUCAUUGUUAGACGCUUCUUAUGAGGUGCAAAAGCACCAACUUCCCUAUUGUUUUAGAUCUUGUGUGUUAACUUCCUUUCGUUUCUAAAGAAGCAAUUGCUUCAACUCUAUGCUAGCCUUUGUUUUUAGCAUUUCAAGUAGCUUACUGUGUUAUGGUGAGUAAUAAACAACGCCAUGCCUGCGUUAUUUUAUGUUUGAUAUACAUGUUCAUGGAUAUUUACGCAAUUUAUUGUUAAUUUAAUCAGCUUUUCUAUACAUAAAACGCAGCUAUAAAAUAGUGAUACUUUCAAUACUUGGUUCUAAGACAUUUAUGACCUUCAUUCACCUGUAGCAGUUCUAUUUACCAUGUAGUAUAUUUAACAGUCUUACCCUAUUUAUUCUCUCAGACUGCAAUAGAGAACACUUCACGGGAGUUGCCAUCUAUGGUCCAAAAGAAGGCCGAUGAAGAUGUUCUGAAGCUUAUUGAAGCUCAGAAGGUAUGUAAUAUUCUCUGAAGCCAUCAAUAUCUUUUCCUGAGAUUGUUCAUGCUUAUGUAUACAAAAUUGAAAUUUUCAGAGGGAAAAAGAAGCUGCCAUCUCAAAAAUAAUAGAAUUGGAGAGGCAAUUGGAUCAAAAACAACAAUUGGAGCUGGAAAUAGAGCAGCUAAAUGGGACGCUUCGAGUGAUGAAGCAUUUGGAAGGAGAAGAUGAUGAAGAUAUCCAUGAAAAGAUGGAAAAUUUGAACGGCAAGUUGGAGAGCGAAAAGCUGCGUCUGGCAAAACUUAGUAUAGACCUCAUAAACAAGGAGCGCAAAAGCAAUGACGAGCUACAAGAAGCUCGAAAGGAAUUGAUUAUGGUUGGAGUUUUUCUUUUCCUUUAUUUUCUUCUUAGAAUUACUCUUGCUUUCAAGCAAAAUUGCAUGGAACAACCUCGUGUAUAAUUCUCUCUUUUUUGAUUAAUUCUUUGUUGUUUUUCUCUUUUUUGACUGAUUUUUUAUCUCGGACAGGGUUUGGAUGACAUGCUGAGUGGCCGCACUAAUAUUGGAAUCAGAAGGAUGGGGGAACUUGAUGAAAAGCCUUUUCAAAAUGCAUGCAAGAGAAAAUAUCAAGAUGAAGAGGCUGCCAUUAAAGCUGCAGAGUUGUGCUCAAAUUGGCAAGAGGAACUCAAGAAACCCGCGUGGCAUCCAUACAAGAUCAUCGAGUGUGAUGGAGAAACUAAGGUAUGAGAUAUAAUCAUCCUAUUACAUUUUCAGUAUGUGUGCUUUGUUUCCUUCAAACAACAUGAACCAUCUCGCUCUCUCUUAGAGCGAGAAUGCUUACAAGAUUUCACCUUGAAUCUCCCGUCUUUCUUUCUCUCUCUCUCUCUCUUGCAUAUAAUUACUUGUGGAAUGUUUAGCCUAUUUUAUUUUUUCUCGACUUCAUUCCUGGGGCUUAAUGGUGCAGGAAGUUGUUAAUGAACAAGAUCCAAAGUUGAAGGAACUGUGGUUCGAAUGGGGGGAUGAUGUCUACAAUGCGGUCAAAACAGCUUUGAUUGAGCUGAAUGAGUACAACGCUAGCGGAAGGUAUACAGUGCCUGAACUCUGGAACUACAAAGAAGGGCGGAAAGCAACUAUGAAGGAAGUAGUCCAAUACAUAUUCAAGCAGUGGAAGAUCAAUAAGAGGAAGAGAUGACCAACCAAAUAACCCGAGGUAACAUCCCAUUUAUUAGAUUAAUAUAACUUCAACAAACUAUCAACAAGGGCGUGUAAGAUGCGUGCCCAGUCAAUGCCAUCGUUUCCCGAUUAUGAAUUGCCGGACGUGGCGUCGUAUGCUUUAGGCUUCUCAUCUAAUGUGGAGCAUCCAUAUUGCACCUGGAUUUAAUGCUGUAUUAUAAGCUGUUGUAUCACUGUUGUAAGAGAACCAUUGCUGCAUAAACAGCUCUUCCCUUGUUUCUGAAGUAGUUUAACAUCUUAAUAGUCUCUUGUCAUGUAGUUACAGUUAUUAGUUGCAGGCGGUAAAUUGCACUAGCAGCCCCAACUUCGUGUGUGUGUGUGUGUGUGUGUGUGUGUGUUUAAAGUCAUUUAUCUACUUUUACAAAUUGGAUGGAUUGAGAGUAUGAGAUGGAGAAUUGAUGGGUACAUAGUGCAUGAGCAUACAAAUGCACCGUGUGCAGGUUGGUAAAUUUCUGUUUAACAGUAGGCAAUGGUUUACAAUGUCGUGCCUCCAUUUAACUUUCAGGAUGUGAAACUACUCGUCCGAGGAUCAAAGUGAAACUUUUUCAGAGACUACCGCUCAAGAUCAUAAUUACGUUGAUGAAUGGUGGUUUUUGUCCCCUUUUCUUUGUUAGUUUAAAAUUCUUUAGAAUUCUCUAUUUCAAAACUUACGUAUUUUUUGAGGAGUGAAGCUUUUGGGGAAUUAUAUAUAUAUUCCCCUACUAGCACUAAGCAAAUGAUAUUUUAUUAGAUAAAACUUUAUUAUAUAAUACGAAACUUUGCGUCCAUCGCAACCAAAUACGCCUACAGUUAUCAUAGACGCAUCGAUGAAGGGACUUGGCUUCUGAAUUAGGUGCUGUGUGCCAAGCGUGAAUCCGACCUCAUAAUUCUAGCUCGGGUCCGAAGCUUUGUUUUUGAUCGGGCCGGCCCGUUUUGUAGAUUUACUACUUGGCCCGGCUCAUCCCGAUCCGGCCCCGCUCCAGUGUUUAAAGCUGUCUCGACCAAAGAGUCAAGAGAGGUUGUUGUCGACGCUUCAUUUCCCCUUCACUCUCUCUCUCUCUCUCUCUCUCUCUCUCUCUCUCUCUCUCUCUACGGCUACGCCCUAUAAAAAAUCUCGGGAGCGAAGUUGGGGAAGCUUUUGAGGUUUCGAAGGUCGGCCUCGUCUUCUCAGGUGUGCUCUUAACACGACCCAACAACAACAACAACAACAACAACAACAACAACAACAACAACAACAGUAACAGUAACAGUAACAGUGAAAAUUUUUAGGUGAAAAUUCAUGUGGCUCACCGAAUGUGCUCUUUGUGAAGUGUUUAAUCUGUCUUUGUGUAUAGAAAAGGGUUUUUUUUUUUUCUCAUUGAAAGAUGAUUGCUCACACCUAUAUGUGAAAUUUUGUUUAAAGAAAACAUGUAUUGGCGAUAGAAGGCCAGUUCCCCGAGUAUCUUCCGGAUUGCAAUGAAUGUGAGAAGCUUGAUAUUUAGUCGUAAAGUAAUCUGAAAUGAUUUCCUUCUUGCUUGGACUUGCAUAUGUUGGUUCCGUGAUGAAUUUCCCAUUUCUCAUGAAGCUUUUUGUUUAAAAAAAAUGUUUUUUUUUUUUUCUGUUCAGAAAUGCCGAGUCUUCGGCGCGUGGCACGGGAGAAUGCUCGAAGGAUUUUUGAGGAGAAGGAGAAGCUGAGAUUAGAGUUGGAGAAUGCUCGAAGGAUUUUUGAGGAGAAUGAGAAGCUGAGGCUAGAGUUGGAGAAUGUUCAAAGGAUUUUUGAGGAGAAUGAGAAGCUGAUGCUAGAGUUGGAUGCAAAGAGAAAAGAACUAAAUUCGCGAUGCAAGCAACGAGACAAGUUAGAGGCUGAAAAUGACGGUGAGAAGAAACAGCUUGAUGACGAGAAGCAAAAGGUAAUGGGUUCAUAUAAAGCACGCACUCUGAAUUAAAGAGUACAUUGUUAGGUACCUAUGUCUUUUUUAUUAUUAUUUGUGGAAUGGUAGGAACUAUCGUGUUUGAGGAUGUUUUAAUUUAACAAAAGAUUAGCAUGAACUUAGAGAGUUCAUGAGAAAACACAAAAAAUUGGAGCAAUUAACUUACAAUAGAUAGAUAAUUAUAACAAAUUAACCGAAGAUGACCACUGUGUCCCACUACUUGUGAUGGUUGCAUUGACACCUUCGUUGACUGUAAGUGAGGUUUUGUGAUCUUGGCUGAAGAAACCGGAAUAUCAACUGUUAAUGCUCUUGUUUGGUUGAUUGCGUCCAUUUUGUAGAUAUUCUUCAAUAAUUUGAUUUAAACUAAUCCAUAUGUCAGUAUUAAUUUUCUUUGUCACUUCUUUUACUGUUAGACGCUUCCUAUGAGGUGCAAAAGCACCAACUUCCCUAUUGUUUUAGAUCUCGUGCGUUAACUUCCUUUCGUUUCUAAAGAAGCAAUUGCUUCAACUCUAUGCUAGCCUUUGUUUUUAGCAUUUCAAGUAGCUUACUAUGUGGUGGCGAGUAAUAAACAACGGCAUGCGUGCGUUGUUUUAUGUUUGAUAUACAUGUGCAUGGAUAUUUACGCAAUUUCUUGUUAAUUUAAUCAACUUUUCUAUACAUAGAACACAGCUAUAAAAUAAUGAUACUUCCAAACUUGGUUCUAAGACAUUUAUUACCUUCAUUCACCUGUAGCAGUUCUAUUUACUAGGUAGUAUAUUUAACAGCCUUACCCUAUUUAUUCUCUCAGACUGCAAUAGAGAACACUUCACGGGAGUUGCCAUCUAUGGUCCAAAAGAAGGCCGAUGAAGAUGUUCGGAAGCAUAUUCAGGCUCAGAAGGUAUGUAAUAUUCUCCAAAACCAUCAAUAUCUUUUCCCGAGAUUGUUCAUGCUUAUGUAUUCAAAAUUGAAAUUUUCAGAGGGAAAAAGAAGCUGCCAUCUCAAAAAUAAUAGAAUUGGAGAGGCAAUUGGAUCAAAAACAACAAUUGGAGCUCGAAAAAGAGCAGUUAGAGGGGACGCUUCGAGUGAUGAAGCGUUUGGAAGGAGAAGAUGAUGAAGAUAUCCACAAAAAGAUGGAAAAUUUGAGCGGCAAGCUGGAGAGCGAAAAGCUGCGUCUGGCAAAACUUUGUAUAGAUCUCAUAAGCAAGGAGCGCAAAAGCAAUGACGAGCUAGGAGAAGCUCGAAAGGAAUUGAUUAUGGUUGGAGUUUUUCUUUUCCUUUAUUUUCUUCUGAGAAUUACUCUUGCUUUCAAGCAAGAUUGCAUGGAACAACCUCAUGUGUAUAAUUCUCUCUUUUUUGAUUAAUUCUUUGUUGUUUUUCUCUUUUUUGACUGAUUGUUUAUCUCGGACAGGGUUCCGAUGACUUGCUGAGUGGCCGCACUAAUAUUGGAAUCAAAAGGAUGGGGGAACUUGAUGAAAAGCCUUUUCAAAAUGCAUGCAAGAGAAAAUAUCAGGACGAAGAAGCUGCCAUUAAAGCUGCAGAGUUGUGCUCAAAUUGGCAAGGGCAAUUCAAGGAACCCGGGUGGCAUCCAUACAAGAUCGUUGAGUGUCGUAGAGAAACUAAGGUAUCAGAUAUAAUCAUUCUAUUACAUUUUCAGUACGCGCGCUUUGUCUCGUUCAAACAACAUGAACUGUCUCUUAGAGCGAGAAUACUUACAAGAUUUCACCUUGAAUCUCCCGUCUCUCUCUCUCUCUCUCUCUUGCAUAUGAUAACUUGUGGAAUGUUUUGUCUAUUUCCUUUUUCACUACUUCAUUCCUGUGGCUUGAUGGUGCAGGAAGUUGUUCCGAAGUUGAAGGAACUGUGGUUCGAAUGGGGGGAUGAUGUCUACAAUGCGGUCAAAACAGCUUUGAUUGAGCUGAAUGAGUACAACGCUAGCGGAAGGUAUACAGUGCCUGAACUCUGGAACUACAAAGAAGGGCGGAAAGCAACUACGAAGGAAGUAAUCCGAUACAUAUUUGAGCAGUGGAAGAUCAAUAAGAGGAAGAGAUGACGAACCGGCUAUGAAUUGCCAGACAUGGCGUCGAAUGCCUCUACGUUUCUCAUCUAAUGUGGAGCAACUAUAUAUUGUACCUGGAUUUAAUGCUGUAUUAUAAGCUUUUGUAUCACUGUUGUAAGAGAACCAUUGCUGCUUUAGCAGCUCUUCCCUUGUUUCUGAAGUUGUUUAACAUCUAAAUGGUCUCUUGUCAUGUAGUUACAGUUAUUAGUUGCAGGGGGUAAAUUGCACUAGCAGCCCCAACUUUGUGUUUUUGUGUGUGUGUGUGUUUUUUUUUAGUUAUUUUUCUACCUUUGCAAAUUGGAUGGAUUGAGAGUAUGAGAUGGAGAAUUGAUGUGUACAUUGUGCAGGAGCAUACAAAUGCACAGUGUGCAGGAUGAUAAAUAUCUAUUUAACAGUAGGUGAUGGUUUAGAUUGUCGUCGACCUUCCCAUUUAACUUCCAGGAUGUGAACUACAUGUUGGAGGAUCAAAGUGAUACUUUUUCAGAGACUACUACUCAGUACUCAAGAUCAUCAUUUGUUUACCUUGACGAAUGGUGGUUUCUUUCCCUUUUCUUUAUUAGUUUAUUCUUUAGAGAAUGCUCUAUUUCAAAACUUGUGUAUUUUCUGAGAAAUUUAUAUGUUUCUCCUACGAGCACUAAGCAAAUAAUGUUUUAUUAAAUAAAACUUCGUUAUUAAAUAAUACUAAACUUUGCAUCACAAGUUCACAACCGUAAAGGUGAGAAGGGACUUGGCUUCUGAAUCUGGAGAGUAGGGGCAGUUUACACAUUUCAUUGGGUCCGAAACUUUGUUUUUGAUCGGGCCGGUCCAUUUUUGGAAAUUUCCUAUUAGGCCGGCCCAUCCCGAUCUGGCCCCGGUCCAGGUUUUAAAGCUGUCACUAACGAAGAGGGGUUCUAGACGCUUCAUUUCGCCUAUCUCUCUCUCUCUUUCUCUCUCUCUACGUCUACACCUAUAAAAGCCUUGGUGGCGAAUUGGGGCAGCUUCUAGGGUUUCCAAGGUCGGCUUCGUCUUCUCGAGGUGUGCCCUUAUACGACCCAACAACAACAACAACAACAACAACAAGAGUAACAAUAAUAAUAAUUUCCCGAGUAAUUAUCUCCUCGAUCUCUUCUUCUUCUUCUUCUUCUUCUUCUUCUUCGUUCUUAGAUCAUGGGGGCUAUGAUUACAAAGAGAGAGGCUCGAGUGGUGAUACUGAAACCCAUCUAUAUACAUAAUAUUUCCAUCUAAGUGAGGAAGGAGAUAGAGCGGGGGAGAGUUGGGAGUUUGGAGUCGAAGGUGCCGCCAUUGUUAGGGCUUGGUAUCUUCUUCUUCUCCUUCCUUGUGACUUCUCCCUCCCCCUCUUCCAUUUUCACCAUUGAUGGAUUGGGUUUCUACCCACUGUGACGGUUUUUUUUCUUCAUACACUUGAUAUGAGCCCACCAAUUUUAUUUCAUUAAGUUACAUUUUUUGUGACUGUGUCUAAAAUUCUAUUGUUCAACAGCGGUUAAACUUUUUUUUUCCAUAAUUUUAGUGUUAUUUGUUAGUAAUUGUGUCGUGAAUUUCUCAACUAAGUGCUAGAGUUAGGGUUUAGGAUUUUUUUUAUUUUAUCAAAAAAAUAAUUUUAGGCUAUUUUGUGAAGUUUUUUUUUUUUUCAAUUCAUCUGUUAGACCAGAAACAAUUUGAAAUGCUAAAUAAUAAUACAUUAUUGUCAUAAAAAUAAUUAAUAUCGCUGAUUAAUAUAGAACACGCUAUUUAAAUUGCAAAUAUAAUGAUUUUAUUAUUAAAUUCCUAGGCGCUAUGCCUAUGAUCGCCAAAAUUUCACCCAUAAGCUUUUGGGCCGUGGCCUGAUUGGGCCUAAUUGGGCCAACCUAGGGCUUCCUUUUGUUUUGGCCCAUCCAAAUUUGCAUGGGCCUGGGCAAAUUGUUAUGGGUACUUAGGUGCAAGUCACUAACAAUGAUAAUAAGAAAAAUCAAUAAAAAUUUUCUAGCCUGGUUUGUAUGAGUAAACUAUUGCGAAGCUAUUGUAAAACUUUUCAAGUGGGUUUAGUUUUUUUCUUCUUUUUUUUUUCCCAUUUAAAAUCUUUUAGUGUUAUUGUGUCGGUGGUGAUGAUGCACCAGCAUCAAGAGGUCUUAUCCUAUCUGUUACUACUGCAUCCGCAUCUUCUUGUUAUGGGAUCUGCUUCUCACAGCUGGAUAUCACUGAGUUCUGCAGGGAUAUUUAUAGCUGUAUGUAAAUGGAGACAUUAAAUAAACCUCAACUAUAUGACCAAUCCACUGAUUCAGCUAGUGGACCAUCUAUGUCUCCAGAGAGUGUAAAUGGGUGCACAUAGGGACCUCAAUUUAUUCAUUCAUUCAUUCAUUUAUCAUUUUUUACUUGUAGCUCUUACUUGUUAACCUUAGAUCUUGGUGGUUGGGAUAUGAGACUUGCGUUCGACUCCUGCGACUAUAGAAAAAAUGUGUUUUUAGUGCAGUAUCAACUUCAAGACUUAAGUUGGCCUCAUGUUUUAAGAAAAAUGUUUGUAGAGGUCCGAGAAAAAAGAAAAGGAAAAAAGAGCAAAAGAAAAGGAAAAAAGAGCAAUGCGAACUCUGCAGUCUGCACCUAACAAGUGAGUGUAACUUUUAUAUGGUUAAAACUCUUGGAUGGAUGGAUGGAUGGAGGGAUGGAUGUAAAAUUCACAUCCUUGCUAUUGAAAAAUUAGAGGUGUGUGAUAGACUUUUAGGCUGCGUUUGGUACUGAGGACAUCUCGAUGGUACCGAAGACAUCCUGAAACAACACGGGAUAUCCCUAACCAAACGGCAGAAGAACAAGGAGCUACGUUACUUAAAAUUGUUCUUAGAGAAACUGAGAACAACUUUGUUCUUCUCUUUAUUUUAUUAGAUAAAUAAAUAUAUAUAAAUAAAUAUAUUAAUAUUUUUAUGAUAAUAUAUUUAUACUUAAAUUUUAUUAUAUAAUAUAAAUUAAUUAAAUUUGAUAUAUUAUUUAUUUUAUUAAGUUUUAUUAUUUAUAUAUUAAUAUUUAAUUAUUUUUUUAUAUUAAGUAUUAUAUAUAUAAUUAUUUUUUCAUGCAUUAUAUAUUUUUUUAAAUUUUGUAUUGAAAUUAAUACUAUUAUUAAUUAAAAUUAUAAGGAUAUUUUUACAUAUAUUAUAAAUAAAUUAUAUAAAAUAAAUUAUUAUUAUAUAUAGUAAAAUAAAUAUACUAUUUUAAAUUAAAUUGUUACAUAAAAUAUUAUAUUAUAAAUUACUAUAAGAAAUAAUUUUAUAUAAAAUAUACUAAUAUAAAUUAAUUAUUUUAUUUUUAAAAAUAUAUUUAGACAUUGUUCUACACUUUUUGUUCAAACGCUACUAAAAAUAUCCUCUAGAAUAUCUCCGAAUGCAUCCAAAUAUAAAUUUACAAUUGUUCUAUCUUGUAUCGGAAUAUCCCAUGUUAUCGGGAACAAUAAAAAUUGUUCUUUAAAAUUUAAUUUUCCAACCAAACGUAGCCUUAGAGUCUGUUUGGUUCGGGGAUAGGGGACAGGAUAACCCUUUAUUCUCUCGUUUUAU
rnacentral:lncRNA from 1 species